UCGGGAAUUUUGGGCAAUGGGCGAAAGCCUGACCCAGCAACGCCGCGUGAAGGAUGAAGUAUUUCGGUAUGUAAACUUCGAAAGAAUAGGAAGAAUAAAUGACGGUACUAUUUAUAAGGUCCGGCUAACUACGUGCCAGCAGCCGCGGUAAUACGUAGGGACCAAGCGUUGUUCGGAUUUACUGGGCGUAAAGGGCGCGUAGGCGGCAAUUCAAGUCAUCUGUGAAAUCUCCGGGCUUAACUCGGAACGGUCAGAUGAUACUGCUUUGCUAGAGUGCAGAAGGGGCAAUCGGAAUUCUUGGUGUAGCGGUGAAAUGCGUAGAUAUCAAGAGGAACACCUGAGGUGAAGACGGGUUGCUGGGCUGACACUGACGCUGAGGCGCGAAAGCCAGGGGGAGCAAACGGGGAUUAGAU
rnacentral:rRNA from 1 species